rnacentral:rRNA from 1 species
AGAGUUUGAUCCUGGCUCAGGAUGAACGCUGGCGGCGUGCUUAACACAUGCAAGUCGAGCGAAGCACUUUUUAGAACUCUUCGGAGGGAAGAGAGGGUGACUUAGCGGCGGACGGGUGAGUAACGCGUGGGCAACCUGCCUUACACAGGGGGAUAACAAUUAGAAAUGAUUGCUAAUACCGCAUAAGACCCCAGUACCGCAUGGUACAGAGGUAAAAACUGAGGUGGUGUAAGAUGGGCCCGCGUCUGAUUAGGUAGUUGGUGGGGUAGAAGCCUACCAAGCCGACGAUCAGUAGCCGACCUGAGAGGGCGACCGGCCACAUUGGGACUGAGACACGGCCCAAACUCCUACGGGAGGCAGCAGUGGGGAAUAUUGCACAAUGGGGGAAACCCUGAUGCAGCGACGCCGCGUGAGCGAGGAAGUAUUUCGGUAUGUAAAGCUCUAUCAGCAGGGAAGAAAAUGACGGUACCUGACUAAGAAGCCCCGGCUAACUACGUG